GACGAACGCUGGCGGCGUGCCUAAUACAUGCAAGUAGAACGCAGUUGCGAACGGGUGAAUAACGCGUAGGUAACUGCCUCAUAGCGGGGGAUAACUAUUGGAAACGAUAGCUAAUACCGCAUACUGUGCGAUGGACCUGCGUUGCAUUUGCUAGUUGGUGGGGUAAAGGCUCACCAAGGCGACGAUACAUAGCCGACUUGAGAGGGGGAGCGGCCACCAGGGGAAGUGGACACGGCCCAGACUCCUACGGGAGGCAGCAGUAGGGGAGCUUCGGCAAUGGGCGGAAGUCUGACCGAGCAACGCCGCGUGAGUGAAGAAGGUUUUCGGAUCUGAAAGCUCUGUUGUGAGAGAAGCGUUAACUAACCAGAAAGGGACGGCUAACUACGUGCCAGCAGCCGCGGUAAUAC
rnacentral:rRNA from 1 species